rnacentral:rRNA from 1 species
UACGUAGGGACCUAGCGUUGUCCGGAAUCAUUGGGCGUAAAGCGCGCGUAGGCGGCCCGGUAAGUCCGUUGUAAAAGUCGAAGGCUCAACCUUCGAAAGCCGAUGGAUACUGCCGGGCUAGAGUACGGAAGAGGCGAGUAGAAUUCCUGGUGUAGCGGUGGAAUGCGCAGAUAUCAGGAGGAAUACCCAUAGCGAAGGCAGCUCGCUGGGACGUUACUGACGCUGAGGCGCGAAAGCGUGGGGAGCGAACAGG